UUGGUGCUUGCAUCAUGAUUUACAUUUGAGUGAGUGGCGAACUGGUGAGUAACACGUGGGAAACCUGCCCAGAAGCGGGGGAUAACACCUGGAAACAGAUGCUAAUACCGCAUAACAACUUGGACCGCAUGGUCCGAGCUUGAAAGAUGGCUUCGGCUAUCACUUUUGGAUGGUCCCGCGGCGUAUUAGCUAGAUGGUGGGGUAACGGCUCACCAUGGCAAUGAUACGUAGCCGACCUGAGAGGGUAAUCGGCCACAUUGGGACUGAGACACGGCCCAAACUCCUACGGGAGGCAGCAGUAGGGAAUCUUCCACAAUGGACGAAAGUCUGAUGGAGCAACGCCGCGUGAGUGAAGAAGGGUUUCGGCUCGUAAAACUCUGUUGUUAAAGAAGAACAUAUCUGAGAGUAACUGUUCAGGUAUUGACGGUAUUUAACCAGAAAGCCACGGCUAACUACGUGCCAGCAGCCGCGGUAAUACGUAGGUGGCAAGCGUUGUCCGGAUUUAUUGGGCGUAAAGCGAGCGCAGGCGGUUUUUUAAGUCUGAUGUGAAAGCCUUCGGCUCAACCGAAGAAGUGCAUCGGAAACUGGGAAACUUGAGUGCAGAAGAGGACAGUGGAACUCCAUGUGUAGCGGUGAAAUGCGUAGAUAUAUGGAAGAACACCAGUGGCGAAGGCGGCUGUCUGGUCUGUAACUGACGCUGAGGCUCGAAAGUAUGGGUAGCAAACAGGAUUAGAUACCCUGGUAGUCCAUACCGUAAACGAUGAAUGCUAAGUGUUGGAGGGUUUCCGCCCUUCAGUGCUGCAGCUAACGCAUUAAGCAUUCCGCCUGGGGAGUACGGCCGCAAGGCUGAAACUCAAAGGAAUUGACGGGGGCCCGCACAAGCGGUGGAGCAUGUGGUUUAAUUCGAAGCUACGCGAAGAACCUUACCAGGUCUUGACAUACUAUGCAAAUCUAAGAGAUUAGACGUUCCCUUCGGGGACAUGGAUACAGGUGGUGCAUGGUUGUCGUCAGCUCGUGUCGUGAGAUGUUGGGUUAAGUCCCGCAACGAGCGCAACCCUUAUUAUCAGUUGCCAGCAUUAAGUUGGGCACUCUGGUGAGACUGCCGGUGACAAACCGGAGGAAGGUGGGGAUGACGUCAAAUCAUCAUGCCCCUUAUGACCUGGGCUACACACGUGCUACAAUGGAUGGUACAACGAGUUGCGAACUCGCGAGAGUAAGCUAAUCUCUUAAAGCCAUUCUCAGUUCGGAUUGUAGGCUGCAACUCGCCUACAUGAAGUCGGAAUCGCUAGUAAUCGCGGAUCAGCAUGCCGCGGUGAAUACGUUCCCGGGCCUUGUACACACCGCCCGUCACACCAUGAG
rnacentral:rRNA from 2 species